AUUGAACGCUGGCGGCAUGCCUUACACAUGCAAGUCGAACGGCAGCACGGGAGCAAUCCUGGUGGCGAGUGGCGAACGGGUGAGUAAUGUAUCGGAACGUACCAUUGAGUGGGGGAUAACGUAGCGAAAGUUACGCUAAUACCGCAUAUACCCUGAGGGGGAAAGCAGGGGAUCGCAAGACCUUGUGCUCUUUGAGCGGCCGAUAUCAGAUUAGCUAGUUGGUGAGGUAAAGGCUCAUCAAGGCGACGAUCUGGAGCGGGUCUGAGAGGAUGAUCCGCCACACUGGAACUGAGACACGGUCCAGACUCCUACGGGAGGCAGCAGUGGGGAAUUUUGGACAAUGGGGGCAACCCUGAUCCAGCCAUGCCGCGUGAGUGAAGAGGGCCUUCGGGUUGUAAAGCUCUUUCGGCCGGGAGGAAAUCGCAUCAGCUAAUACCUGGUGUGGAUGACAGUACCGGAAUAAGAAGCACCGGCUAACUACGUGCCAGCCGCCGCCGUAACAC
rnacentral:rRNA from 1 species